UGCCAGUAUUGUCAUACCAAAAUAUGCUACAUACAUGUACAUGAACAGCAGCAGUUUGCUCUCACAGAUGCUACUCUAAAUGACUCUUACAGUAACACAAGUGCAUAUAUAAAAUUAAAAUGGGUGUUUCCAGUAUGAAUUG